CCAAUAGCGUAUAUUAAAGUUGUUGCAGUUAAAAAGCUCGUAGUUGAAUUUCGGGAUUGACACAUCGGUCGUGCCUUAAGGGGUGUGAACUGGUGUAGUCAAUUUCUCACCUUCUGGAGAACCGUGAUGUCCUUAAUUGGGUGCCGCGAGGAACCAGGACCUUUACUUUGAAAAAAUUAGAGUGUUUAAAGCAGGCAUUUUUGCUUGAAUACAUUAGCAUGGAAUAAUAAAAUAGGACGGCAUGAUUCUAUUUUGUUGGUUUCUAGGAUCACCGUAAUGAUUAAUAGGGAUAGUUGGGGGCAUUAGUAUUCAAUUGUCAGAGGUGAAAUUCUUGGAUUUAUUGAAGACUAACUACUGCGAAAGCAUUUGCCAAGGAUGUUUUCAUUAAUCAAGAACGAAAGUUAGGGGAUCGAAGACGAUCAGAUACCGUCGUAGUCUUAACCAUAAACUAUGCCGACUAGGAAUCAGACGAUGUUAAUUUUUUAAUGACUCGUUUGGCACCUUACG
rnacentral:misc_RNA from 1 species